rnacentral:rRNA from 1 species
GGAGGCAGCAGUGGGGAAUAUUGCACAAUGGGCGAAAGCCUGAUGCAGCAACGCCGCGUGAGGGACGACGGCCUUUCGGGUUGUAAACCUCUUUUAGCAGGGAAGAAGCGAAAGUGACGGUACCUGCAGAAAAAGCGCCGGCUAACUACGUGCCAGCAGCCGCGGUAAUACGUAGGGCGCAAGCGUUAUCCGGAAUUAUUGGGCGUAAAGAGCUCGUAGGCGGUUUGUCGCGUCUGCUGUGAAACCCCGAGGCUCAACCUCGGGCCUGCAGUGGGUACGGGCAGACUAGAGUGCGGUAGGGGAGAUUGGAAUUCCUGGUGUAGCGGUGGAAUGCGCAGAUAUCAGGAGGAACACCGAUGGCGAAGGCAGAUCUCUGGGCCGUAACUGACGCUGAGGAGCGAAAGGGUGGGGAGCAAACAGGCUUAGAUACCCUGGUAGUCCACCCCGUAAACGUUGGGAACUAGUUGUGGGGUCCAUUCCACGGAUUCCGUGACGCAGCUAACGCAUUAAGUUCCCCGCCUGGGGAGUACGGCCGCAAGGCUAAAACUCAAAGGAAUUGACGGGGACCCGCACAAGCGGCGGAGCAUGCGGAUUAAUUCGAUGCAACGCGAAGAACCUUACCAAGGCUUGACAUAUACGAGAACGGGCCAGAAAUGGUCAACUCUUUGGACACUCGUAAACAGGUGGUGCAUGGUUGUCGUCAGCUCGUGUCGUGAGAUGUUGGGUUAAGUCCCGCAACGAGCGCAACCCUCGUUCUAUGUUGCCAGCACGUAAUGGUGGGAACUCAUGGAAUACUGCCGGGGUCAACUCGGAGGAAGGUGGGGAUGACGUCAAAUCAUCAUGCCCCUUAUGUCUUGGGCUUCACGCAUGCUACAAUGGCCGGUACAAAGGGCUGCAAUACCGCAAGGUGGAGCGAAUCCCAAAAAGCCGGUCCCAGUUCGGAUUGAGGUCUGCAACUCGACCUCAUGAAGUCGGAGUCGCUAGUAAUCGCAGAUCAGCAACGCUGCGGUGAAUACGUUCCCGGGUCUUGUACACACCGCCCGUCAAGUCAUGAAAGUCGGUAACACCUGAAGCCGGUGGCCCAACCC